ACGAACGCUGGCGGCACGCUUAACACAUGCAAGUCGAACGAGAGAAGAGGAGCUUGCUUUUCUGAUCUAGUGGCGGACGGGUGAGUAACGCGUGAGCAAUCUGCCUUUCAGAGGGGGAUACCGAUUGGAAACGAUCGUUAAUACCGCAUAACAUAAUUGAACCGCAUGAUUUGAUUAUCAAAGAUUUAUCGCUGAAAGAUGAGCUCGCGUCUGAUUAGCUAGUUGGUAAGGUAACGGCUUACCAAGGCGACGAUCAGUAGCCGGACUGAGAGGUUGAUCGGCCACAUUGGGACUGAGACACGGCCCAGACUCCUACGGGAGGCAGCAGUGGGGAAUAUUGCACAAUGGAGGAAACUCUGAUGCAGCGAUGCCGCGUGAGGGAAGAAGGUUUUAGGAUUGUAAACCUCUGUCUUCAGGGACGAAAAAUGACGGUACCUGAGGAGGAAGCUCCGGCUAACUACGUGCCAGCAGCCGCGGUAAUACGUAGGGAGCGAGCGUUGUCCGGAAUUACUGGGUGUAAAGGGAGCGUAGGCGGGAUCGCAAGUCAGAUGUGAAAACUAUGGGCUUAACCCAUAAACUGCAUUUGAAACUGUGGUUCUUGAGUGAAGUAGAGGUAAGCGGAAUUCCUAGUGUAGCGGUGAAAUGCGUAGAUAUUAGGAGGAACAUCAGUGGCGAAGGCGGCUUACUGGGCUUUAACUGACGCUGAGGCUCGAAAGCGUGGGGAGCAAACAGGAUUAGAUACCCUGGUAGUCCACGCCGUAAACGAUGAUUACUAGGUGUGGGGGGACUGACCCCUUCCGUGCCGCAGCAAACGCAAUAAGUAAUCCACCUGGGGAGUACGACCGCAAGGUUGAAACUCAAAGGAAUUGACGGGGGCCCGCACAAGCAGUGGAGUAUGUGGAUUAAUUCGAAGCAACGCGAAGAACCUUACCAGGUCUUGACAUCGUAUGCAUAGCUCAGAGAUGAGUGAAAUCUCUUCGGAGACAUAUAGACAGGUGGUGCAUGGUUGUCGUCAGCUCGUGUCGUGAGAUGUUGGGUUAAGUCCCGCAACGAGCGCAACCCUUACUGUUAGUUGCUACGCAAGAGCACUCUAGCAGGACUGCCGUUGACAAAACGGAGGAAGGUGGGGAUGACGUCAAAUCAUCAUGCCCCUUAUGACCUGGGCCUCACACGUACUACAAUGGCUGUCAACAGAGGGAAGCAAAGCCGCGAGGUGGAGCAAACCCCUAAAAGCAGUCUUAGUUCGGAUUGUAGGCUGCAACCCGCCUACAUGAAGUCGGAAUUGCUAGUAAUCGCAGAUCAGCAUGCUGCGGUGAAUACGUUCCCGGGCCUUGUACACACCGCCCGUCACGCCAUGGGAGUCGGUAACACCCGAAGCCUGUAGUCUAACCGCAAGGAGGACGCAGUCGAAGGUGGGAUUGAUGACUGGGGUG
rnacentral:rRNA from 1 species